rnacentral:rRNA from 1 species
CCUACGGGUGGCAGCAGUGGGGAAUAUUGGACAAUGGGCGAAAGCCUGAUCCAGCCAUGCCGCGUGUGUGAAGAAGGCCUUCGGGUUGUAAAGCACUUUCAGUGGGGAAGAGAGCCUUGGGGCUAAUACCCUCGAGGAAGGACAUCACCCACAGAAGAAGCACCGGCUAACUCCGUGCCAGCAGCCGCGGUAAUACGGAGGGUGCGAGCGUUAAUCGGAAUUACUGGGCGUAAAGCGCGCGUAGGCGGUCUGAUAAGCCGGUUGUGAAAGCCCCGGGCUCAACCUGGGAACGGCAUCCGGAACUGUCAGGCUAGAGUGCAGGAGAGGAAGGUAGAAUUCCCGGUGUAGCGGUGAAAUGCGUAGAGAUCGGGAGGAAUACCAGUGGCGAAGGCGGCCUUCUGGACUGACACUGACGCUGAGGUGCGAAAGCGUGGGUAGCAAACAGGAUUAGAUACCCUUGUAGUC